GUUUUGCUUUUUAGUUUUUGAGGCUGUUAGUACAUGACUUAUUCAAUUCAUCAUAUUUAUUUGUUAUUCUCUACUUAAUUUCUAUAAGUUAACUUAUCAGUGUAAAUUAUAAAUUAAAAUAAUAAUAAGCGGCACUUUAAACAUGUAUUCAAAGGAAGACCGAGGAUUUUCUGAACUAAUAAACUAUAAUAUGAGAAGAUGGCAGUGGAAGCCGACGGAAGUCCAUAUGAAACUUUAAUGCCUUAUCUUUGUCUUGGUCUAACAUAUUCAUUAGAAGUGAAAAAUCCAAUGUCCCUGUGCUUAAGAAUUUAACUUGAGUUUUAAAUUCGAAGAUCUUAAACAAGUCAAUUGUCAUGUUUCAUCAUACUGGUUGAAGCUUUAAAAGGUAACGGCUCGCGCGUGACCUAUUUAGUUCAGCCUAUGCCAGCGACAGGAGUUAAGAUAAGCUGACUGUACAUUUUCAUGAGAUCUUCUAAUAGCUCUGCUAUAUGCCUCAUUGGUAUAGUGCAACGGUUAUCAACCUGCGGACCGCCUGGUGUUACUUUAUUUUCUAUUUUAAAUUUCAAAGGUUUUUUAAAAACCUAAAUCAUUUGAUUUAAACAACUGCUUGUGACAACGGACACUGCAAAGUUUUUGAAACAUCAGAAAAUGUUAAAAUAUACGCAAUAAAUCCGUUCAUAAUUA